rfam:Rattus norvegicus chromosome 4, whole genome shotgun sequence.
GGGGAUUUAGCUCAGUGGUAGAGCACUUGCCUAGAAAGUGCAAGGCCCUGGGUUCAGUCCUCA